CUAAUCAUAUUUCAUAUGUUGCAUAUUAUAAUAGGAUAUAUAGCAUGCAAUUACAUACACUGUAUAAUUACAUGUAUUAUAUGAUCGUAUAUUCUUUAUGCAGAAUGUGCAUUAUGUAUAUUGCGUCUUGCAUUUUACACGGUCGAUUAUCACAUGUCACACUCAUAAUCCACCUAUAAUUCAAUGCUUCUGUUAUGCGACACUUUUCUGCCCUGUCCCCGCCCCCAUGUCUGUGGGUUCUGCGGCCACAGAUGGAGCCCACCAAGCACGGAUGGAAAAUUGUCAAUUCCAGCCACCCUAAGUCACCUAGAGGUGGUUUCAAGUGCCCCGGAGGACAGGGGUCCGUGCUGAGCAUCCGGGGGCUUCGGCAGCCUCAACAGCGUGCUGAGGCACAGCGCUGCGGCUGAACCGGAGCCUGUCCAUCAAGGGCUGCAGACCCCGGAGUGGACCGUGCAGAGCGGGGCCCUGGGUGUCUGUCUCCCGGCCAGCGUCCAGGCGCCUCUCCAGGCCCUUCUCCGACCCGCCCUUUUUAGCCGCGGUUCUGCUCACCAAUAUUUUUUCCCUCAGGCAGACUUUCUUUGUCUACCCUGCAGGCAACACGGUGGCCCGAAUCGUGUCCCCGAUCGUGUCUGUGGUGGUGGUCGCCUUGGUGGGGGCCGGGGUCAGCUACUUCAAGUCCAACCAGAGGAGGAAUUGCUUUCGGGCCAGUGAUCCAGAGACGGUGUGAAGCUGCCCAGGUCUUCCCGAGGUCCCCACAAGGACCCCACGACGCCGGGGACUGUCCCGCGGAAAAGCUCUUUUUAUAUUUCAGUGCAUUCCCACCUGCGGAAGGAGGCCAGCUGCCUCCAGAAGGAUUCUCUGCCUGUGGCCUCCACCCCGCAGCUGCUGCUGCCUUCACGGGGCGGAGGGGGGGGCCUCCACGGAGGCUGAGCCCGGCUGCGGAGGCCAGGGCGCAGAGGGGUCUCAGGGACAGAGGCUGCGGCCCUAAUUACUGACACUGCCCCUUCGCCCCCUGCAAGGGGGCAGGAGGGAUUUCCAGGGCCCUGCGUCCCCUGUCUGUCCCCUCCAAAUGGGAUUUGAGGUUUUAAAAUCUAAAGUCACCGGGUGUUAAAAUCACCUCGUGGAAAUGGGUCUUGCAAGACUUUUUUCUAGAAAAUUCUUCUUUCCUUUUUUUAUACUGGGAAUGCAAUCCAGGGGUGCUUUACCACUGAGCUAUGUUGCCAGCCUUUUUUUU